rnacentral:rRNA from 1 species
CAAUACGGAGCGGCAGACGGGAGAGUAACACGUGGGAACGUGCCCUUCAGUUCGGAACAACCCAGGGAAACUUGGGCUAAUACCGGAUACGCCCGUAAGGAGAAAGAUUUAUCGCUGAAGGAUCGGCCCGCGUCUGAUUAGCUAGUUGGUGGGGUAAUGGCCCACCAAGGCGACGAUCAGUAGCUGGUCUGAGAGGAUGAUCAGCCUCACUGGGACUGAGACACGGCCCAG